GGAUAACUCAGUCAGUAGAACAUCAGACUCUUAAUCUCAGGCUCGUGGGUUCAAGCCCCACGUUGGCCA